AUAGGAUCAUUUUAAUAAAUCUUAUUAUUUACAGUCAAAUUUAAGCUACUAAAUUAUCCUUUAAAAAGUAUAAGAAAAACCAAUAAAUUAUGUCUACCUCACUCACUUGUUGAAAUGCAUAGGAAAAUCCAAUAAUUAUUAAACAUAAUUGGGCUAUAAAAUUUAUAGCGUCAAUCCAAUAAAUUAUAUCAUUCAGUCUAUGAUAGAACCUAACGAUAAAUUCAAUACGAUAUAUGGGAAAAUCCAAUAAAUUAAAGAAGCUUGUUAUACCUAGCAAAACAUAUAUAAAAUUUCUAUACAUUUCAUCAUUCUGUGUUAGUAUUUAAGUUGGCGUACAUGAGUCGUGGAAGAAAUCCGUUUCAAUAUUUUUUGGGAAACAUAAACCCAUAGAAGAACGUGGAAGAACGAUUGUUUGUGUACUUCGAGCCAGUAAUUUGUCGCCGGAAGAUUUUACCAGCUGAAUGGCAGCAUCGCAAACAUAAAUACCAUCGCGGUAAUAUAAGCCGAAAACUUAUGAGUGUAAAUCAGGUCUUAAAACGACGGGCAGCAGUGGAGCAGAACAGAUCCGGACUUCAGCGAGUACCUGCACGGUUCAAUUCUUGCCAGCCAAGCAUAGGAAACAUCAUUAAUUCACUGGAACAGCAGCACCCAACCCACUAAAUCAGGAUUUAAGCACCAGGUUCAACAUGCACCAGGCAAUGGAACUGCCCCCAACCACACACAAAAAGUUUUUAAAGUGCAGUGCAGUAUAACAUU